rnacentral:rRNA from 1 species
CGUGUAGGCGGAUAGGUAAGUCAGAAGUGAAAUCCAAUAGCUCAACUAUUGAACUGCUUUUGAAACUGCUUAUCUAGAAUAUGGGAGAGGUAGAUGGAAUUUCUGGUGUAGGGGUAAAAUCCGUAGAGAUCAGAAGGAAUACCGAUUGCGAAGGCGGUCUACUGGAACAUUAUUGACGCUGAGACGCGAAAGCGUGGGGAGCAAACA